GAAGCGUGGGUGGCGGGUUUGGCGGUGGUUUUGGCGGUAGCGCCGGCAGCAGCGGCAGUUCCAGUGGCGGCACUCAAGGGUGAAAAGGACGCUGCACUAUGGCCAUCUAAAGCACAAGUAAUUAACACAUUUUCCUUAUGCAGGUAGAAACCAUACUAACACAAUGUUUGAAAUAAAUGUGAAAUUGAAAGA